GAGCGGUAACAGGCGUAGCAAUACGUGCUGACGAGCGGCGAACGGGUGAGUAACGCUUCGGAAUCUGCCCAAUGGUGGGGAAUAACCAGCCGAAAGGUUGGCUAAUACCGCAUGAGCCCUACGGGGGAAAGCGGGGGAUCGUAAGACCUCGCGCCGAUGGAUGAGCCGAAGCCGGAUUAGCUAGUUGGUAGGGUAACGGCCUACCAAGGCGACGAUCCGUAGCUGGUCUGAGAGGACGACCAGCCACACUGGGACUGAGACACGGGCCCGACUCCUACGGGAGGCAGCAGUGAGGAAUAUUGGUCAAUGGACGGAAGUCUGAACCAGCCAUGCCGCGUGAAGGAUGAAGGCCUUCUGGGUUGUAAACUUCUUUUAUGAGGGAAGAA
rnacentral:rRNA from 1 species